GCGGGAAUAGCUCAGGCGGUAGAGCGUUGGCUUCCCAAGCCAAAGGUCGCGGGUUCGAACCCCGUUUCCCGCUCCA
rnacentral:tRNA from 3 species